AUAAGCUUCAUUCUUUCAUCUUAGUGGCGGACGGGUGAGUAACGUGUGGGCACCUGCCCUGUACUGUGGAAUAAUCAUUGGAAACGAUGACUAAUACCGCAUGUGAAGGCAUCUGAAAAUUUAUUCGGUACAGGAUGGGCCCGCAUCUGAUUACUAGUUGGUGAGAUAACAGCCCACCAAGGCGACGAUCAGUAGCCGACCUGAGAGGGUGAUCGGCCACAUUGGGACUGAGACACGGCCCAAACUCCUACGGGAGGCAGCAGUGGGGAAUAUUGCACAAUGGGCGAAAGCCUGAUGCAGCAACGCCGCGUGAAGGAUGAAGGGUUUCGGCUCGUAAACUUCUAUCAAUAGGGAAGAAACAAAUGACGUACCUAAAAAGAAGCCCCGGCUAACUACGUGCCAGCAGCCGCGGUAAUACGUAGGGGGCAAGCGUUAUCCGGAAUUACUGGGUGUAAAGGGAGCGUAGGCGGCAUGGUAAGCCAGAUGUGAAAGCCUUGGGCUUAACCCGAGGAUGCAUUUG
rnacentral:rRNA from 1 species